GAUGAAGAACGUAGCGAAAUGCGAUAAGUAGUGUGAAUUGCAGAAUUCCGUGAAUCAUCGAAUCUUUGAACGCACAUUGCGCCUUCUGGUAUUCCGGAAGGCAUGCCUGUUCGAGAGUCAUUAACAACCGUUUCGAUCCCUUUCUUUCAGAAAUUACAAAGAGGAAAAGGGUUUGGUUAUGGUGGAGGAGGGAAAGGGAGCGUUUAGCCUGUAAAAAAAGAGGCUGUGUUCCGCCGCCCCCCCAAAAUUGUACAGGCGGUCGUGUGCGCCCACGCAUCGAGGUGUUGUAAAAGCUGCCACGGCACUUUUCACCUGUGCAGUGCGAGAUUGGCCAGCCGGUUUAAAAACCCCUCCAAACAAUCAAAGGUUGACCUCGGAUCAGGUAGGGAUACCCGCUGAACUUAAGCAUAUCAAUAAGCGGAGGA
rnacentral:misc_RNA from 1 species